CGGAACGCGCCGGAGGCCGCGCCGAGCCCGAGGUGCGGCGCCAGCCCCGGGCCGAGCUGCACGUGGGUCGCCGGGGUCCGGGUGUGGGUGCGUGUGUGUGUGUUGUGUGUGUGUGUGUGUGCGCGCGCGGAGAGGGAGGGACCCUAGGGCUCGCGGCGCGUCCCGGGGAUGCUGGCAAGUCGUGUUGGCUGCACCCUCCCCCCCACCCCCCGGGAGGAGACGGGGCGGGGGUGGGGUUGCCCCGGGACAGUGCCCACCGGGCGGGGUGAUGGGGGUAACGGUGCCAGGUCUCGGCCGGGGAGGGGCAGAUGACCCCGCGAGGCGCUUCGCAGGGUGCCCCUCAGCCGACUUCUCCUAGGUGGGCCGGUCGCCGGAGGCAGAUGGCAGACAAGGGAAUCCGGAAAUCUGGAGUCGUGGCUGCGGUGACAGCGCGAGGUACCCGCAGAGUCCUGGGAAUCCGGCCCUUCCCAAUCGCCAACUAAAACUGCUGGGACCUUGUGCGCGACAGAGGCGCAGACCCCAGAGGCCCGGAGACGUAGCACCCUCAGGCUCCCAGCUGCGUUACCUGGCUUGCAGUCCUCCUUUGUGCCAACUUGGGUUUGUGGGGACACAACUUUAAUGACAUAAGUCCUGUUGCCCUCAGUGCGGAACCCGUGCCAGCAGGCCCACGGCCCCAACUGUGAGAAGGAAAUGUGGCGAAUCUAAGACACGGCCGUGAAAUGAGGUUGCGUCUACUGAUGAGAGCAACUUGGAUGAUCUACAUUCGGUGUGUGGGCGGCCAUGCUAGACGGUGUGUGCCUGUCGGGGUGAAGGAGUCACUUUCAAAAGUGUGAAAUCUGGGCCAGCCUAAGGGUAUUCACAGCCUCUCUUAUAGAGAAAUAUGCUAGGGAAGGUUUGGCUCUUAAAAUAAAAAGGAAACACAGUCCACCGAAAGAAAACCUGCUUCAUUAUUUUACAGUCAUGCCUAAUAUUCAUACUUAAUUACAGGGCAGGAUAUAAAUGCUUUUUCCUU
rnacentral:lncRNA from 1 species